ensembl:lncRNA
CUGAGCAGGAAGGAGAGAGGAGGAAAGUGAAAGUGUUUCUGAACAGAGAAUGUCUGCAUUAGUUUCUUCCCUACAGAAGGCUCGACGUUUGUAGUUGUAUUUGAUGUAUUGAGUGUGUUUUGUCUUCAGUCAGCUGGAUCAGCCCACCGAGCGUCAAGGAGGAACAAAGGUCCGCGUUGCUAUGGUGACCAGCAGUCUGCACAUCAGUCUCCAAGGUUAAAGGCUUGACCAACGUUUAACUGACCUGUCCAGGAAGACCUUUCACAGAGGAAUCAAAAGAACACAAUGGAGGAGAGAGAAAAAAUCAUAGAAGAAAGAGAGAAGCUUCUGAAUCAGAAAGAAAUUAAUUUUCUAGAAAGAGAAAAGCAUCUGGAUGGGAAAGAGAGCCGGUUAUUAGAGAUGGAAAAGCGUUUGGAUGGGAGAGAUACUCGUUUGGAUGAGAGAGAAAAGCGCCUGGACGGAAGAGAUAUUCGUUUGGAUGAGAGAGAAAAGCGCCUGGAAAGAAGAGAGGGACAGACAGACCCAAGACAACAUGUCUUGUCUAGGAGAAGUCAUUGGGGGUUCCUAGGGUCUUUCCUGCCCAUGGGAGAAAGUUUUCCAAUUAUCCCACCCCCCAUAAAAAGAAGAGGAAGCAUUGCUGAACCUCUAAACUUGGGAAAAGAAAAAAGCCCACCAAAGCCAGACAAACCUGCAACUGAACCUGACCCUGUUGUCGUGAGCUGAGUUCAAUGUGGAAGUUCAGCCUAGAGAUUCUGGAGAUGACACCAACCAGAAAUCACAUUGGAAGCCUUUAGCACAAUUGCAGUUUUCCCAUUUUCAUGUUUUUAUUGACAGUUUAUCUAGCAGAGAUAAAGAUCAAGAUUUGUCCCACAUAAUGAGUCUCAUAAAAUUACAAAGGAACAUAUGCACCCUUUAGGUCUUCUGGGCACCACCAUCCCAUCAAAUCUAAUAAGAGGUUUUUGUAAAAUUACCUUUAAAAAGUAACAAUGAAAAGCUAUUUGAGAUUCAGCCACUUGCAGUUUUGGUAUCUUGUGCACUGAAUCUAAAAGCAUGUGGUGAUGUAUAUGGUAGGACAGGCUAUACAGCCUGUUUUACAAAGACAAAUGAAAAAAAAAACCCUCACAGAAUAACCCACAAUUUCAUUCAGUCAAACCAGAAAAGUUGGCAUAUAUGGAUGCUGGUUCCAAAAAUGUCAACUAUUUCGCCUCCGUUUUGUUAGCCUAUUUGUAGGAUUAGGCGAGUUUGAUAAACACAUUAAUUCUGUUGUCAAAAAUUCCUUCUACCAGUUUAGGUCACUUGCCAAAAUGAAAUAAUUUCUGUCACCCCAAGACCUGGAGAAGGUUACACAUGUUCUCAUUUCACUUACACUACUGCAACAGUACAUGAGAUUUAGUAAGUCUUCAAUAGCUCAUUUACAGUUAGCAGUACUGGACAGUAACUGAGUAACUGAGUAAAUGUAAUGAGUUUCUGUACUUUAGUAUUUUUGGUGUAUCUGUACUGAAGUUUCUCCGUUCUGGGCGACUUUCUCCUUUCACUCCACUACAUUUCAGAGUCUAAUAUCCGACUUUUUCCUCCUACAUUUUGAGAAAUCUGCCGUUCCUUUUGGUUUCUGUGUGUAUAAAAACGUAACAUGUCAAAACGAAAGAAGCGCAAAGCCAGAGCACCAAUCAGGGCCCAGCGGUCACUUUGUUUAGAGCUGGUUUUGACCUGUUGGUCAUACCGACCCAGUGCAGCACGCGGUUCAACGUCAGCGCAGCAGCGUAAAACUUUGGGAGAGUCUGUUCAACAUAAAUGAUGAACUAACCUAACUUUGUGUAAAUAGAGCUCAAUAUAGAAAUAUGUCCACAUAUGCAGUCGAGACUGACGCGGCUUUUUUCUGAAUUUCUACAAACACCAUUUCAUUUUAUAGUAAAUGAGUUUGGGCUGGAUUAUGUUUAUGAACAGACGCCUACAGAUCAACAUAGUAAAGGAGCUCAUCUGUGAUCCUGAGUUUAAAGCCAGUUUUUAUUCAACUUAAACUUGG